AGUGAACGCUGGCGGUAGGCCUAACACAUGCGAGUCGAACGGCAGCACAGUAAGAGCUUGCUCUUACGGGUGGCGAGUGGCGGACGGGUGAGGAAUACAUCGGAAUCUACUUUUUCGUGGGGGAUAACGUAGGGAAACUUACGCUAAUACCGCAUACGACCUACGGGUGAAAGCAGGGGAUCUUCGGACCUUGCGCGAUUGAAUGAGCCGAUGUCGGAUUAGCUAGUUGGCGGGGUAAAGGCCCACCAAGGCGACGAUCCGUAGCUGGUCUGAGAGGAUGAUCAGCCACACUGGAACUGAGACACGGUCCAGACUCCUGCGGGAGGCAGCAGUGGGGAAUAUUGGGCGAUGGGCGCAAGCCUGAUCCAGCCAUACCGCGUGGGUGAAGAAGGCCUUCGGGUUGUAAAGCCCUUUUGUUGGGAAAGAAAAGCAGCAGGUUAAUACCCCGCUGUUCUGACGGUACCCAAAGAAUAAGCACCGGCUAACUUCGUG
rnacentral:rRNA from 1 species